rnacentral:rRNA from 1 species
AUGAACGCUGGCGGCGUGCCUAAUACAUGCAAGUCGAGCGAACGGACGAGAAGCUUGCUUCUCUGAUGUUAGCGGCGGACGGGUGAGUAACACGUGGAUAACCUACCUAUAAGACUGGGAUAACUUCAGGAAACCGUAGCUAAUACCGGAUAAUAUUUUGAACCGCAUGGUUCAAAAGUGAAAGACGGUCUUGCUGUCACUUAUAGAUGGAUCCGCGCUGCAUUAGCUAGUUGGUAAGGUAACGGCUUACCAAGGCAACGAUGCAUAGCCGACCUGAGAGGGUGAUCGGCCACACUGGAACUGAGACACGGUCCAGACUCCUACGGGAGGCAGCAGUAGGGAAUCUUCCGCAAUGGGCGAAGGCCUGAUGGAGCAACGCCGCGUGAGUGAUGAAGGUCUUCGGAUCGUAAAACUCUGUUAUUAGGGAAGAACAUAUGUGUAAGUAACUGUGCACAUCUUGACGGUACCUAAUCAGAAAGCCACGGCUAACUACGUG